rnacentral:lncRNA from 1 species
ACUCCACCUAGUGAGUCGCCGAUUGUGGGUUAUUCUGCUAGCUAAGAGUGUUGUCCACGGCUUGGUUCAAAAAGGCCAUAAGUUGAAUCGCCGACUCCACAUAGGUAGUCGCCGAUUCCUUUAGCUUUUUUGAGCAAGUGCUGUCAAUGUCUUUUGCUCUGGCACUUUCACUUCCAUAUAGGUUGGAUUUUUCAUAGAAAAUCACCUAUCCACACUGAGUAGGCGAUUCCCACAGUCGAGUCGCCGACUCCCACACUGAAUAGGCGAUUCCCACAGUUGAAUUGUCGAUUCGGUCAUCGUCUUCAUUCAUCGCUUCG